CCAGGAUUCGCUCCGCUCAGCCACGCUACAAGAAAGGUAGGAGGCACACCAGGAAGGGCAGGGGACCACUAUGGGGGUGGGUGGCGCACCAAGGGACAGGGAGAGGAGGGGAGAGAUACCCUAAGGUACAGGAAAAGGAGGGAGGGAGAGGAACACUAAGAGACAGGGAACAGAGGAGGGAGGGGAGAGGAACACUAAGGGACAGGGAAAGGAGGGGGGAAGGGAAAGGAACACUGAGGAACAGGUAAAGGAGGAGAGAGGGGAGAGGAACAGUAAGGGUCAGAGAAGGGAGGGGACCAUUAAGGGACGGGGAGAGGGGCUGGAUGUGAAAGAAAC